rnacentral:rRNA from 1 species
UGCAGCUCUAAGUGGGUGGUAAAUUCCAUCUAAAGCUAAAUAUUGGCGAGAGACCGAUAGCGAACAAGUACAGUGAUGGAAAGAUGAAAAGAACUUUGAAAAGAGAGUGAAAAAGUACGUGAAAUUGUUGAAAGGGAAGGGCUUGAGAUCAGACUUGGCAUUUUGCAUGUUGCUUCUUCGGGGGCGGCCUCUGCGGUUUGUCGGGCCAGCAUCAGUUUGGGCGGUAGGACAAUCGCGCGGGAAUGUGGCACGGCCUCGGCUGUGUGUUAUAGCCCGCGUGGAUACUGCCAGCCUAGACUGAGGACUGCGGUUUAUACCUAGGAUGUUGGCAUAAUGAUCUUAAGUCGCCCGUCUUGAAACACGGACCAAGGAGUCUAACGUCUAUGCGAGUGUUUGGGUGUAAAACCCGUACGCGUAAUGAAAGUGAACGUAGGUGGGGGCCCUCUCGGGGGUGCACCAUCGACCGAUCCUGAUGUCUUCGGAUGGAUUUGAGUAAGAGCA